UUGAAGGUGAGAGAGGUCAUAAUAUUUAUAUGGUAAGUUUGCAAAAAAUAUUUUUGUUUCUGCAAAUAUAUCCUAUCCUAAAAUCUGAUUGAGUACAGAUGAAUGAUAUCCAUGUUUUUGUUUAGCUCAUUAUUUUUCACCUAUUUGUAACUAACCUUUGUGGUUACGUAGGUAGUAUACAAAUAGAUCUUUUGGCUUUGUUCCUGGUAAUGCAACUUGCCCUCGGUUUAAUUCUUUGGCUUUUUUCCUGCAAGGUUGAAUGAAUCUAUGGUGAGUUGGUGACUGGUGUUGAUUCUGUGGCUUUGACCCAUCCUUCAUCUCAGGUUGCAGCCCGUCUUCCCCACCAUCCACUUCCUUACAAUGUCCACGUGAAUCACCAUCUGCUGUUGCUGCUGUCCUGUCCAUGUCUGUAUCACGAAUUCGGCUGAAAGGUCAUGUGAUUACUUUCUGAAAAGUAGACCACUGUGAUGGAGACUGGAGAUGGUUAACUUCUGCUACCUACAACCAUUGCCGCCUAAUUCAUGGACAAUGCACACCAUAUGCUCUUGGCUUGCCCCAGCAACUUUUUGAUUAAACUAACCAAAUAAUCAUAGGGAGAUUCCUGCAGAAAAGAAUAGAAGUGACCAUAUGCGUCUUAGUUUUGAAACUGUUAGAGCCACAAACUUUUAAUUUGUAUGUAUUAUU